rnacentral:rRNA from 1 species
CCUACGGGUGGCAGCAGUGAGGAAUAUUGGUCAAUGGGCGCGAGCCUGAACCAGCCAAGUAGCGUGAAGGAUGACUGCCCUACGGGUUGUAAACUCCUUUUAUAAAGGAAUAAAGUGAGGCACGUGUGCCUUUUUGUAUGUACUUUAUGAAUAAGGAUAGGCUAACUCCGUGCCAGCAGCCGCGGUAAUACGGAGGAUCCGCGCGUUAUCCGGAUUUAUUGGGUUUAAAGGGAGCGUAGAUGGGUUGUUAAGUCAGAUGUGAAAGUUUGCGGCUCAACCGUAAAAUUGCAAUUGAUACUGGCAGCCUUGAGUACAGUUGAGGUAGGCGGAAUUCGUGGUGUAGCGGUGAAAUGCGUAGAUAUGACGAAGAACUCCGAUUGCGAAGGCAGCUUACUAAACUGCCACUGACAUUGAUGCUCGAAAGUGUGGGGAUCAAACAGGAUUAGAUACCCCUGUAGUC